GAUUAUUGAAGGAUAAGACCUGAAUUCAUAAUC
rnacentral:ncRNA from 1 species